UACGAAGGGGGCGAGCGUUGUUCGGAAUUACUGGGCGUAAAGGGCGCGUAGGCGGCCGAUCAAGUCAGAUGUGAAAGUCCUGGGCUUAACCUGGGGACUGCAUUUGAUACUGAUUGGCUUGAAUGCAGGAGAGGAUAGCGGAAUUCCCAGUGUAGAGGUGAAAUUCGUAGAUAUUGGGAAGAACACCGGUGGCGAAGGCGGCUCACUGGCUCAGUUACUGACGCUCGAGGC
rnacentral:rRNA from 1 species